AGUGAACGCUGGCGGUAGGCCUAACACAUGCAAGUCGAACGGCAGCACAGUAAGAGCUUGCUCUUACGGGUGGCGAGUGGCGGACGGGUGAGGAAUACAUCGGAAUCUACUUUUUCGUGGGGGAUAACGUAGGGAAACUUACGCUAAUACCGCAUACGACCUACGGGUGAAAGCAGGAGAUCUUCGGACCUUGCGCGAUUGAAUGAGCCGAUGUCGGAUUAGCUAGUUGGCGGGGUAAAGGCACACCAAGGCGACGAUCCGUAGCUGGUCUGAGAGGAUGAUCAGCCACACUGGAACUGAGACACGGUCCAGACUCCUACGGGAGGCAGCAGUGGGGAAUAUUGGACAAUGGGCGCAAGCCUGAUCCAGCCAUACCGCGUGAGUGAAGAAGGCCUUCGGGUUGUAAAGCCCUUUUGUUGGGAAAGAAAAGCAGCAUGUUAAUACCCCGCUGUUCUGACGGUACCCAAAGAAUAAGCACCGGCUAACUUCGUG
rnacentral:rRNA from 1 species